rnacentral:rRNA from 1 species
GGGUUGUGAGGUUAAGCGACUAAGCGUACACGGUGGAUGCCCUGGCAGUCAGAGGCGAUGAAGGACGUGCUAAUCUGCGAAAAGCGUCGGUAAGGUGAUAUGAACCGUUAUAACCGGCGAUGUCCGAAUGGGGAAACCCAGUGCAAUUCGUUGCACUAUCGUUAACUGAAUACAUAGGUUAACGAGGCGAACCGGGGGAACUGAAACAUCUAAGUACCCCGAGGAAAAGAAAUCAACCGAGAUUCCCCCAGUAGCGGCGAGCGAACGGGGAGCAGCCCAGAGUCUGAAUCAGCUUGUGUGUUAGUGGAACGGUCUGGAAAGUCCGACGGUACAGGGUGAUAGUCCCGUACACCAAAAUGCACAGGUUGUGAACUCGAAGAGUAGGGCGGGACACGUGGUAUCCUGUCUGAAUAUGGGGGGACCAUCCUCCAAGGCUAAAUACUCCUGACUGACCGAUAGUGAACCAGUACCGUGAGGGAAAGGCGAAAAGAACCCCGGCGAGGGGAGUGAAAAAGAACCUGAAACCGUGUACGUACAAGCAGUGGGAGCACCUUCGGGUGUGACUGCGUACCUUUUGUAUAAUGGGUCAGCGACUUAUAUUCUGUAGCAAGGUUAACCGUAUAGGGGAGCCGCAGGGAAACCGAGUCUUAACUGGGCGUUAAGUUGCAGGGUAUAGACCCGAAACCCGGUGAUCUAGCCAUGGGCAGGUUGAAGGUUGGGUAACACUAACUGGAGGACCGAACCGACUAAUGUUGAAAAAUUAGCGGAUGACUUGUGGCUGGGGGUGAAAGGCCAAUCAAACCGGGAGAUAGCUGGUUCUCCCCGAAAGCUAUUUAGGUAGCGCCUCGUGAACUCAUCUUCGGGGGUAGAGCACUGUUUCGGCUAGGGGGUCAUCCCGACUUACCAACCCGAUGCAAACUACGAAUACCGAAGAAUGUUAUCACGGGAGACACACGGCGGGUGCUAACGUCCGUCGUGAAGAGGGAAACAACCCAGACCGCCAGCUAAGGUCCCAAAGUCAUGGUUAAGUGGGAAACGAUGUGGGAAGGCACAGACAGCCAGGAUGUUGGCUUAGAAGCAGCCAUCAUUUAAAGAAAGCGUAAUAGCUCACUGGUCGAGUCGGCCUGCGCGGAAGAUGUAACGGGGCUAAACCAUGCACCGAAGCUGCGGCAGCGACACUAUGUGUUGUUGGGUAGGGGAGCGUUCUGUAAGCCUGCGAAGGUGGCCUGUGAGGGUUGCUGGAGGUAUCAGAAGUGCGAAUGCUGACAUAAGUAACGAUAAAGCGGGUGAAAAGCCCGCUCGCCGGAAGACCAAGGGUUCCUGUCCAACGUUAAUCGGGGCAGGGUGAGUCGACCCCUAAGGCGAGGCCGAAAGGCGUAGUCGAUGGGAAACAGGUUAAUAUUCCUGUACUUGGUGUUACUGCGAAGGGGGGACGGAGAAGGCUAUGUUAGCCGGGCGACGGUUGUCCCGGUUUAAGCAUGUAGGCUGAUUGUCCAGGCAAAUCCGGAUAAUCAAGGCUGAGGUGUGAUGACGAGGCACUACGGUGCUGAAGUAACAAAUGCCCUGCUUCCAGGAAAAGCCUCUAAGCAUCAGGUAACAUUAAAUCGUACCCCAAACCGACACAGGUGGUCAGGUAGAGAAUACCAAGGCGCUUGAGAGAACUCGGGUGAAGGAACUAGGCAAAAUGGUGCCGUAACUUCGGGAGAAGGCACGCUGGUGUGUAGGUGAAGUCCCUGCGGAUGGAGCUGAGACCAGUCGAAGAUACCAGCUGGCUGCAACUGUUUAUUAAAAACACAGCACUGUGCAAACACGAAAGUGGACGUAUACGGUGUGACGCCUGCCCGGUGCCGGAAGGUUAAUUGAUGGGGUUAUCCGUAAGGAGAAGCUCUUGAUCGAAGCCCCGGUAAACGGCGGCCGUAACUAUAACGGUCCUAAGGUAGCGAAAUUCCUUGUCGGGUAAGUUCCGACCUGCACGAAUGGCGUAAUGAUGGCCAGGCUGUCUCCACCCGAGACUCAGUGAAAUUGAACUCGCUGUGAAGAUGCAGUGUACCCGCGGCAAGACGGAAAGACCCCGUGAACCUUUACUAUAGCUUGACACUGAACAUUGAGCCUUGAUGUGUAGGAUAGGUGGGAGGCUUUGAAGCGUGGACGCCAGUCUGCGUGGAGCCAACCUUGAAAUACCACCCUUUAAUGUUUGAUGUUCUAACGUUGGCCCCUUACCGGGGUUGCGGACAGUGUCUGGUGGGUAGUUUGACUGGGGCGGUCUCCUCCCAAAGCGUAACGGAGGAGCACGAAGGUUAGCUAAUCCUGGUCGGACAUCAGGAGGUUAGUGCAAUGGCAUAAGCUAGCUUGACUGCGAGCGUGACGGCGCGAGCAGGUGCGAAAGCAGGUCAUAGUGAUCCGGUGGUUCUGAAUGGAAGGGCCAUCGCUCAACGGAUAAAAGGUACUCCGGGGAUAACAGGCUGAUACCGCCCAAGAGUUCAUAUCGACGGCGGUGUUUGGCACCUCGAUGUCGGCUCAUCACAUCCUGGGGCUGAAGUAGGUCCCAAGGGUAUGGCUGUUCGCCAUUUAAAGUGGUACGCGAGCUGGGUUUAGAACGUCGUGAGACAGUUCGGUCCCUAUCUGCCGUGGGCGCUGGAGAAUUGAGGGGGGCUGCUCCUAGUACGAGAGGACCGGAGUGGACGCAUCACUGGUGUUCGGGUUGUCAUGCCAAUGGCACUGCCCGGUAGCUAAAUGCGGAAGAGAUAAGUGCUGAAAGCAUCUAAGCACGAAACUUGCCCCGAGAUGAGUUCUCCCUGAGACUUUAAGUCUCCUGAAGGAACGUUGAAGACGACGACGUUGAUAGGCCGGGUGUGUAAGCGCAGCGAUGCGUUGAGCUAACCGGUACUAAUGAACCGUGAGGCUUAACCUUACAACGCCGAAG